AGCUCUGUAAGCGUAUACCAAAGUUGUUGCAGUUAAAACGCUCGUAGUCGGAAAUGGGUGGUUUCGGAGGAAUACGUCCGCCAAGUGCGUAUUCGCCGUUAUUGCCUUUGUGUGAAGUGUGUGGGAUGAAGCGCAUUUAAUUGCGAACGUCUUGAAUCACGCAUCCACUGUUUACUGUGAAAAAAUCAGAGUGCUCAAAGCAGGAAAUUGUUUCUUGAAUGUAUUAGCAUGGAAUAAUAGAAUAGGACUUGGUCUUAUUUUGUUGGUUGUUGUUAGGGCUGAGUAAUGAUUAAGAGGGACAGUUGGGGGUAUUUGUAUUCCGGUGCUAGAGGUGAAAUUCUUAGAUUACCGGAAGACAAACAGCUGCGAAAGCGUCUACCAAGGAUGUUUUCA
rnacentral:rRNA from 1 species